UACAGAGGUCCCAAGCGUUGUUCGGAAUCACUGGGCGUAAAGGGUGCGUAGGCGGCGCGGAAAGUCAGGGGUGAAAUCCCGGGGCUCAACUCCGGAACUGCCUUUGAUACUCCCGCGCUUGAGAACUGGAGGGGAGACCGGAAUUCACGGUGGAGCAGUGAAAUGCGUGGAUAUCGUGAGGAACACUAGUGGCGAAGGCGGGUCUCUGGACAGUAUCUGACGCUGAGGCACGAAGGCCAGGGGAGCGAACGGG
rnacentral:rRNA from 1 species